rnacentral:lncRNA from 1 species
CGUAUUAAGCUUGCAGCGCAUAAACCGUAUAAUGAACCAAAGUCUUGGGGUUGAGACGCUUAAUUAUUUGACAUGAUUGGUCAAUUAAAGCAUGUUUAAUAAUUAUUUUGUUUUCAGUCUUUAAUUUCACAUUUUUAUUUGAGAUAUGAAUAAAGUAUGUUGAGAAAACGAGAUAAAAGACAAGGAAAAAAUGAGUGAUGAAAUCAAAAUCUUGAAAGUGAAAAUUAGUUUUUUUUUUUUCCUUUUUUUUUCUUUUCAUUUAGGUCUUUCCUUAUACAUUUCUUCAAUAUUUCUAAUGGUUUUAGGUAUUUUUUUUUUUUUUACCAUUUGUGUGCUUGACCUUAUACAUUUCUUAUACAUCUCUCCUUUUCCCAAAACUUAUUUGACCUUUAGUGUAAUUAGAGUAAUGUUACAUAGACUAAAUUUGCAAACCAAAUGAUGUGUCACCAAUGAGAAAUAAGCACAUCAAUCUACACUUAAAUAAUAAUCUAAUCAUUAACUUCCAUGUCAUUUAGUUUACAAAAUUCAAUUUACAAAUUUAGUCUCCAUAGUAUUACCUAUGUAAUUAAAUUGAAACUAGAUAGGGUGGUGGGUUUUUAUCAAUGUCUGAUGUUCAAAACUCUCGCAUCCCCUAAAUGAUUGUAAUAAUUUAGAAUCAUUACCUCUCCCCUUAAUAAUAAUAAUUAAAACCCUAAUCGAUAUUUGUAACACCCCGGCCCGGAAUAAUUUAUUUUGGAUAAUAAUUUUGAUGAUAGGCCCACUUUAAACUCUUUAUAAUUUUCUAUUCAAGGGUUAAGGUUCUUUGCUUUUAAUUCCUUAAUUCCACAAAUGGUCUAAAUCAUAAUUCUCUCACCAAACAUACCAUAAUUCAAUUAUCUUACCAAUUUAUUCUCUUAGAUCAAGACUCCAACUAAAUAUUAAUUCUCGAUUAUUUAAUUUCACUUAUUUUAUGGUUGCAUCUAACGUCUCAUUAGACUGCCUACGUAUCCUAAACAGGGAUCAAGCCAUUCGUAGUUCACAUUUCUAAAAUUCAAACCAAAACUGAAUAUAUUCAUUUAAAUCCAACAUAUACCACAAUCGUAUUAAUAUUCAACCCACAACAGUUAGAUCUCAAAAGCAUAAUUAGAAAAACAAAAUU